rnacentral:rRNA from 1 species
CUGAAUCAGUGUGUGUGUUAGUGGAAGCGUCUGGAAAGGCGCGCGAUACAGGGUGACAGCCCCGUACACAAAAAUGCACAUGCUGUGAGCUCGAUGAGUAGGGCGGGACACGUGGUAUCCUGUCUGAAUAUGGGGGGACCAUCCUCCAAGGCUAAAUACUCCUGACUGACCGAUAGUGAACCAGUACCGUGAGGGAAAGGCGAAAAGAACCCCGGCGAGGGGAGUGAAAAAGAACCUGAAACCGUGUACGUACAAGCAGUGGGAGCACGCUUAGGCGUGUGACUGCGUACCUUUUGUAUAAUGGGUCAGCGACUUAUAUUCUGUAGCAAGGUUAACCGAAUAGGGGAGCCGAAGGGAAACCGAGUCUUAACUGGGCGUUAAGUUGCAGGGUAUAGACCCGAAACCCGGUGAUCUAGCCAUGGGCAGGUUGAAGGUUGGGUAACACUAACUGGAGGACCGAACCGACUAAUGUUGAAAAAUUAGCGGAUGACUUGUGGCUGGGGGUGAAAGGCCAAUCAAACCGGGAGAUAGCUGGUUCUCCCCGAAAGCUAUUUAGGUAGCGCCUCGUGAAUUCAUCUCCGGGGGUAGAGCACUGUUUCGGCAAGGGGGUCAUCCCGACUUACCAACCCGAUGCAAACUGCGAAUACCGGAGAAUGUUAUCACGGGAGACACACGGCGGGUGCUAACGUCCGUCGUGAAGAGGGAAACAACCCAGACCGCCAGCUAAGGUCCCAAAGUCAUGGUUAAGUGGGAAACGAUGUGGGAAGGCCCAGACAGCCAGGAUGUUGGCUUAGAAGCAGCCAUCAUUUAAAGAAAGCGUAAUAGCUCACUGGUCGAGUCGGCCUGCGCGGAAGAUGUAACGGGGCUAAACCAUGCACCGAAGCUGCGGCAGCGACGCUUAUGCGUUGUUGGGUAGGGGAGCGUUCUGUAAGCCUGUGAAGGUGUACUGUGAGGUAUGCUGGAGGUAUCAGAAGUGCGAAUGCUGACAUAAGUAACGAUAAAGCGGGUGAAAAGCCCGCUCGCCGGAAGACCAAGGGUUCCUGUCCAACGUUAAUCGGGGCAGGGUGAGUCGACCCCUAAGGCGAGGCCGAAAGGCGUAGUCGAUGGGAAACAGGUUAAUAUUCCUGUACUUGGUGUUACUGCGAAGGGGGGACGGAGAAGGCUAUGUUGGCCGGGCGACGGUUGUCCCGGUUUAAGCGUGUAGGCUGGUUUUCCAGGCAAAUCCGGAAAAUCAAGGCUGAGGCGUGAUGACGAGGCACUACGGUGCUGAAGCAACAAAUGCCCUGCUUCCAGGAAAAGCCUCUAAGCAUCAGGUAACAUCAAAUCGUACCCCAAACCGACACAGGUGGUCAGGUAGAGAAUACCAAGGCGCUUGAGAGAACUCGGGUGAAGGAACUAGGCAAAAUGGUGCCGUAACUUCGGGAGAAGGCACGCUGAUAUGUAGGUGAAGUCCCUCGCGGAUGGAGCUGAAAUCAGUCGAAGAUACCAGCUGGCUGCAACUGUUUAUUAAAAACACAGCACUGUGCAAACACGAAAGUGGACGUAUACGGUGUGACGCCUGCCCGGUGCCGGAAGGUUAAUUGAUGGGGUCAGCGCAAGCGAAGCUCUUGAUCGAAGCCCCGGUAAACGGCGGCCGUAACUAUAACGGUCCUAAGGUAGCGAAAUUCCUUGUCGGGUAAGUUCCGACCUGCACGAAUGGCGUAAUGAUGGCCAGGCUGUCUCCACCCGAGACUCAGUGAAAUUGAACUCGCUGUGAAGAUGCAGUGUACCCGCGGCAAGACGGAAAGACCCCGUGAACCUUUACUAUAGCUUGACACUGAACAUUGAGCCUUGAUGUGUAGGAUAGGUGGGAGGCUUUGAAGUGUGG